AGCAGCCCUCACUAGACUACAAACAUGCUGGCGCUUUGAUCUUGGACUUCCCACCCACCAGAACUUGUCUAACGACCACUUAAUGAAAAUCCACCGCCUCCAGUGGGAGUGUGUGACAACCAAGAGCCUGAGCUUUGGAAUCAAACUGAACGGAGUUGGACUCAUGCCUCUACCAUAACUAGUUUUGUCACCUUCUAAAUUAACCUUCUAGAGUAGAAGUCAGUAAACUCUUCCUAUAAAGGGUUAGACACUGAAUAUUUUAGGCUAUGCAGGCCAUAUAUGGUUUCUGCUGCAAGCAACUACUCAAUGUAAAUGGCAGCAGCCAUAGACAACACAUGAAUGAAUGAACAAGGCUAUGUUCCAGUAACAACGGGCAGUGGCUGGAUUUGGCCCACAGGCUACAGUUAAUCAAUCUCUGCUCUCAGUUCCCACAUUUGUAAGAUAGGGACAAUAAUAUAACUACCUCAUAGGGCUGUUGUGGGAAUAAAUGGGGCGAUGUGUCAAAUUCUUUGCUAAAUGCUUUAUGUAUAAAAAGUAAGCCAAUAAA
rnacentral:sRNA from 1 species